rnacentral:sRNA from 1 species
GUAGAUGCUCAUUCCACCUCUUAUGUUUGCUGAUGCUACAUAAACCUGGGAAUGAUGCAGAGCCCCUUACGGUAUCCGUUGUCCAGCCUGGCAGUUAUUGCGCACGCUUUACUGCAGUAAGAAGGACAUUACGUUGAGUCGGAUACCAUCAGUUGUCUGAACGACCUGAUCUUACACCUGCUUAUGGCAGGUGUUUUUUU